rnacentral:lncRNA from 1 species
UUUUGUCAAAUGGAGGUACUGAAUUUGUUGAGAAUGUACUGAAAAAGUACUGUAAAAGUACUUAUUUUUGACCAGUCUGUUUUGGUAGACACCCUGUGUAUUCACUAAACUCGGUAAUUUUUUUUAUAACUGCUGCAAUAUAAGAAUUCAUCUAAUAAGAGUGUUUUACCUGCUAAUUUUAUAGAUUCCGGCUCACUUAUCCAUGGAGGCAAAAGAUUUGAUACAAAGCCUUCUCCAGAAAAAUCCUGAAAAGCGAAUGCGGUUGCGCGACGUUUUAACUCAUCCUCUAAUGCUAAAGGAAUCAGACUUCCCAGCACUGAAUCAUAGGGCUUACCUUUCCGGCAGUGGUUCUGAUAGUGGAGUCUGCACAAUGACAUCCUCAUCCAACCACACAAAUUCGCCUGGUUUUUUACAAUCCAAUUUUAGAGUGGGCCCAUUGCAGAAUCCAAAUUUUGCCUCUAGUGUAUCAGGACCACAUCAUUGUGAUAGUAACUCUUAUUCUUCCUCAACAAAAGUGCCUUUGGGUUUGGACAUGAACCGUGCUGAAUUCGCUUCUGCUUUAGAUUCUCAACCUUUUCAUUCUGAAGAACUGUUUUCACAACAUCAUAUUAAAAGAUCUGAUGAUGCUUGUUAUCAAACAAUCAGGGGGACCAAAGUCAAAGAAAAAGAACCAGAGUACCUACGCUCAAAAUUUCCCUCCUAUUUAGAUGAAAAAUCCUCCCAAAACUAUAUACCAUCCCUACCAUCCAAGCACGUUUCCGAGACUUUGCGCAAUCAUACCAACAAGAACGCACCCAAUUACGAAUCCAGAGGAUGCGGAAGUGAAAACAGCGUUCUGUCCGGCCUCGUACCACCUGACAAGAGUUUCAUCCUUCAAAGUGUCCAAAAUCUUUCAAAUCCCAGCAAUGAUGAGCGUUUCCACCAUCAGCACGGGCUAAAUGUACGGAGUGAAUCAUUUAACCAUCAGAAUCACACUUCGCUCAUGUCAGUGCGGAAAUGCUGUAGCGAAGGGCAGGAAACUAUGUUGAACAAUGAAAAAUGUUUCAACUGGUGUCAAAACCUGCAGUUUAGGCCUGGAUGUGUUUCGAGUGCCCACAAUACCCAUUCUACAGAGAUGAAUGGUGCAAUGAAAGGCGGAAUUGGGGUUCCUCCGCUGAAUUCAACAAGGUUGCAGCCCACCAGACAUAGGACAAAAAUGCUGCGCUCAGUAUCGUAG